rnacentral:lncRNA from 1 species
AGUGUGCCAAAGCCCAUAUUCGUUUAGAAACUGCCCUUAAGUCUAGGUUUUACCUAACAGGUCUUGUCCCAUUCUUUAUUUUGCCUCGAGCAAAUACUUGUGACCUUUUUUCCAUUACUUACCUUUCGUAAGUAUCCCAUGCCUUUUGCAUGGGAGGUAGUUACCUCCUUGCUUACAUUUGGUGAGUCCCCUUUGUGCCUUUCACAUAAAAAUUGAUAUCCCCAGCUGCUUACCUUUUAUAAGUCUCC